rnacentral:rRNA from 1 species
GACGAACGCUGGCGGCGUGCUUAACACAUGCAAGUCGAACGAUGAAGCCUUAGCUUGCUUUGGUGGAUUAGUGGCGAACGGGUGAGUAACACGUGAGCAACGUGCCCAGGACUCUGGAAUAACCGCGGGAAACCGUGGCUAAUACCGGAUAGGUGCCGAGGCCGCAUGGUCUUCGGUUGGAAAGUUUUUGCGGUUCUGGAUCGGCUCACGGCCUAUCAGCUUGUUGGUGGGGUAAUGGCCUACCAAGGCGACGACGGGUAGCCGGCCUGAGAGGGUGACCGGCCACACUGGGACUGAGACACGGCCCAGACUCCUACGGGAGGCAGCAGUGGGGAAUAUUGCACAAUGGGCGCAAGCCUGAUGCAGCAACGCCGCGUGGGGGAUGACGGCCUUCGGGUUGUAAACCUCUUUUAGUAGGGAAGAAGCGUAAGUGACGGUACCUGCAGAAAAAGCACCGGCUAACUACGUGCCAGCAGCCGCGGUAAUACGUAGGGUGCAAGCGUUGUCCGGAUUUAUUGGGCGUAAAGAGCUCGUAGGCGGUUUGUCGCGUCUGCUGUGAAAGCCCGAGGCUCAACCUCGGGUCUGCAGUGGGUACGGGCAGGCUAGAGUGCGGUAGGGGAGAUUGGAAUUCCUGGUGUAGCGGUGGAAUGCGCAGAUAUCAGGAGGAACACCGAUGGCGAAGGCAGAUCUCUGGGCCGUUACUGACGCUGAGGAGCGAAAGCAUGGGGAGCGAACAGGAUUAGAUACCCUGGUAGUCCAUGCCGUAAACGUUGGGCGCUAGAUGUGGGGACCUUUCCACGGUUUCUGUGUCGUAGCUAACGCAUUAAGCGCCCCGCCUGGGGAGUACGGCCGCAAGGCUAAAACUCAAAGGAAUUGACGGGGGCCCGCACAAGCGGCGGAGCAUGCGGAUUAAUUCGAUGCAACGCGAAGAACCUUACCAAGGCUUGACAUAUAUCGGAAUCGGCUAGAGAUAGUCGCGCCCUUUGGGUCGGUAUACAGGUGGUGCGUGGUUGUCGUCAGCUCGUGUCGUGAGAUGUUCGGUUAAGUCCGGCAACGAGCGCAACCCUUAAGCUUAGUUGCCAUCAUUAAGUUGGGCACUCUAAGUUGACUGCCGGUGACAAACCGGAGGAAGGUGGGGAUGACGUCAAAUCAUCAUGCCCCUUAUGAUUUGGGCUACACACGUGCUACAAUGGACAAUACAAAGGGCAGCGAAACCGUGAGGUCAAGCAAAUCCCAUAAAGUUGUUCUCAGUUCGGAUUGUAGUCUGCAACUCGACUACAUGAAGCUGGAAUCGCUAGUAAUCGUAGAUCAGCAUGCUACGGUGAAUACGUUCCCGGGUCU